AUUGAAGAUGGCCUCUCAGGUAAGCAGCACUGGUCUGUAUUGAAGAUGGCCUCUCAGGUAAUCAGCACUGGUCUGUAUUGAAGAUGGCCUCUCAGGUAAGCAGCACUGGUCUGUAUUGAAGAUGGCCUCUCAGGUAAUCAGCACUGGGCUGUAUUGAAGAUGGCCUCUCAGGUAAUCAGCACUGGUCUGUAUUGAAGAUGGCCUCUCAGGUAAGCAGCACUGGUCUGUAUUGAAGAUGGCCUCUCAGGUAAGCAGCACUGGGCUGUAUUGAAGAUGGCCUCUCAGGUAAGCAGCACUGGUCUGUAUUGAAGAUGGCCUCUCAGGUAAUCAGCACUGGUCUGUAUUGAAGAUGGCCUCUCAGGUAAUCAGCACUGGUCUGUAUUGAAGAUGGCCUCUCAGGUAAUCAGCACUGGGCUGUAUUGAAGAUGGCCUCUCAGGUAAUCAGCACUGGUCUGUAUUGAAGAUGGCCUCUCAGGUAAGCAGCACUGGUCUGUAUUGAAGAUGGCCUCUCAGGUAAGCAGCACUGGGCUGUAUUGACGUAUCUUAAAAAUGACAUCUGCUGCUUUAGAUUGAACGGUCAUAUCUCAGUUAUUGUUUUCAUAUCUACAAAUAUAAGCUGUUUUCUUUACUUUCAGAGAGCGAGCUGAACAAGAGGUAGAACAUGUAGUUAUUGCCAGAUGUUCACUGUCUGAGGAACAGGCCGUGGAAGCUUUAUUGCUGGCAAAAGUGUCUAAAACCAGAGGUUAUAUCAGCUGUUUUGGUGAACCCCUUCCACAUCUGAACUGGCUGACACGGAGGGCACUGCAUGAUCAUAGGUAUGUUUUGAUGUGAAAGUGGAAGCCAGUACCUUCAUCACCACCUCACCCGCUCUUAAGAUAACCUUCGGGCCAACUGGGUGCCCAAGGCUGGUUAGGAAACACCGCAAUUGUGAUGAACUGAGAGAAUAUUAGGGUAGCACUGUAAUUCAUGGAUCAUAUGCUGUCUGCUGCUGUUCUUACCUCUUUCCCUUUCUGUCUUCUACACCUCUCGCCCCACCUCGUCUUUCUUCCUCGUUAUUCCUCAUUAUAAUGAACACCAUAUGUGCAUUAAAGUACAGAUUGAACUUGUAUUUAUAAUAUUACAAUUAUCACAAUUAUAAUGCAUUUAUGUAUUUAU